rnacentral:rRNA from 1 species
UACGAAGGGGGCUAGCGUUGCUCGGAAUCACUGGGCGUAAAGGGCGCGUAGGCGGCUUUUCAAGUGACGGGUGAAAUCCCUCGGCUUAACCGAGGAACUGCCUGUCAGACUGGAAGGCUUGAGACCGGGAGAGGUGAGUGGAAUUCCCAGUGUAGCGGUGAAAUGCGUAGAUAUUGGGAGGAACACCAGUGGCGAAGGCGGCUCACUGGACCGGAACUGACGCUGAGGCGCGAAAGCGUGGGGAGCAAACAGGG